rnacentral:lncRNA from 1 species
AGUAUCCCAACCAGAGCCCAAAUCAGUUCAAGCUUUACUGGGCCUAAGCCCUAUUCAGAAAUCAGUGUUAACUGGGCCUUAGCCCAUAUCAAUAUUAAUCUGGGCCAUAGCCCCUUACAGUUUCAGAGUAUAUUGGGCCUAGCCCAUAUCAGUAUCAAUCUGGGCUGUAGCCCUAUUACAAGUCAAGAUAUAUUGGGCCUUGGCCAUAUUAACACAGUUGGGCCCAUUUCCAUACAAUUGGCCCAUAACAAAACAGCCUCAUAUGAUUAAUGCAUGAUAACCC